rnacentral:rRNA from 1 species
AUUGAACGCUGGCGGCAUGCUUUACACAUGCAAGUCGAACGGCAGCGGGGGCUUCGGCCUGCCGGCGAGUGGCGAACGGGUGAGUAAUGCAUCGGAACGUGCCCAUGUCGUGGGGGAUAACGUAUCGAAAGGUACGCUAAUACCGCAUACGUCCUGAGGGAGAAAGCGGGGGAUCGAAAGACCUCGCGCGAUUGGAGCGGCCGAUGUCGGAUUAGCUAGUUGGUGAGGUAAAGGCUCACCAAGGCGACGAUCCGUAGCGGGUCUGAGAGGAUGAUCCGCCACACUGGGACUGAGACACGGCCCAGACUCCUACGGGAGGCAGCAGUGGGGAAUUUUGGACAAUGGGCGCAAGCCUGAUCCAGCCAUGCCGCGUGAGUGAAGAAGGCCUCGGUUGUAAG